UGGGGAAUAUUGGACAAUGGGGGGAACCCUGAUCCAGCCAUGCCGCGUGUGUGAAGAAGGCCUUAUGGUUGUAAAGCACUUUAAGCGAGGAGGAGGGUACUGGUAUUAAUACUACCAGGUACUGGACGUUACUCGCAGAAUAAGCACCGGCUAACUCUGUGCCAGCAGCCGCGGUAAUACAGAGGGUGCGAGCGUUAAUCGGAUUUACUGGGCGUAAAGCGUGCGUAGGCGGCUAAUUGAGUCGGAUGUGAAAUCCCCGAGCUUAACUUGGGAAUUGCAUUCGAUACUGGUUAGCUAGAGUGUGGGAGAGGAUGGUAGAAUUCCAGGUGUAGCGGUGAAAUGCGUAGAGAUCUGGAGGAAUACCGAUGGCGAAGGCAGCCAUCUGGCCUAACACUGACGCUGAGGUACGAAGGCAUGGGGAGCAAACAGG
rnacentral:rRNA from 1 species